ACGGGGUGCAGCAGGCGCGAAAUCUUCACAAUGUGCGAAAGCACGAUGAGGGGAUCCCAAGUGCUGGCUCGUAAGAGUCAGCUGUUUCUUUGUCUAAAAAACAUAGAGAGUAAGAGCUGGGUAAGACGGGUGCCAGCCGCCGCGGUAAUACCUGCAGCUCAAGUGGUGGUCGCUAUUAUUGGGCCUAAAACGUCCGUAGCCGGUUUGGUAAAUGCCUGGGUAAAUCGUAUAGCUUAACUAUACGAAUUCCGGGUAGACUGCUAAACUUGGGACCGGGAGAAGCUAGAGGUACUCAUAGGGUAGAGGUGAAAUUCUGUAAUCCUAGGGGGACCACCAGUGGCGAAGGCGUCUAGCUAGAACGGGUCUGACGGUGAGGGACGAAGCCCUGGGGCGCAAACCGGAUUAGAUACCCGGGUAGUCCAGGGUGUAAACGCUGCUUGCUUGAUGUUAGUUGGGCUCCGAGCCCAACUAGUGUCGGAGAGAAGUUGUUAAGCAAGCUGCCUGGGAAGUACGGUCGCAAGGCUGAAACUUAAAGGAAUUGGCGGGGGAGCACAGCAACGGGUGGAGCGUGCGGUUUAAUUGGAUUCAACGCCGGAAAACUCACCGGAGGCGACGGUUAUAUGAAGGCCAGGUUGAUGACCUUGCCUGAUUU
rnacentral:rRNA from 1 species